rnacentral:misc_RNA from 1 species
UUAUUAAAUUAACUUUUUACUCCGACGUAAGAAUGCAGUGUUUUGAUGACCUCCGGGGGGAAUGCCGCGGACGGCAGGGUCGCCCCCGAAGCAACAAGAUGUGUUCACAAAGGGUUGGAGGUCGGGACGGAUCCCUCACUCAGUAAUGAUCCCUCCGCAGGUUCACCUACGGAGA